GAGAUGCAAGGUGAGUUCCAUAAGGGCAGAAGGGGCAUGGUGAGGUCCAUCAGGGCAGAAGGAGCAGGAUGAGGUCCAUCAGGGCAGAAGGGGCAUGGUGAGCUCCAUCAGGGCAGAAGGAGCAAGGUGAGUUCCAUCAGGGCAGAAGGGGCAAGGUGAGUUCCAUCAGGGCAGAAGGGGCAUGGUGAGUUCCAUCAGGGCAGAAGGAGCAGGGUGAGGUCCAUCAGGGCAGAAGGGGCAGGGUGAGUUCCAUCAGGGCAGUAGGAGCAGGAUUAGGUCCAUCAAGGCAGAAGGGGCAUGGUGAGGUCCAUCAGGGCAGAAAGGGCAGGGUGAGUUCCAUCAGGGCAGUAGGAGCAGGAUGAGGUCCAUCAGGGCAGAAGGGGCAGGGUGAGGUCCAUCAGGGCAGAAGGGGCAUGGUGAGGUCC